UACGUAGGGUGCAAGCGUUAAUCGGAAUUACUGGGCGUAAAGCGUGCGCAGGCGGUCUGUUAAGACCGAUGUGAAAUCCCCGGGCUUAACCUGGGAACUGCAUUGGUGACUGGCAGGCUUUGAGUGUGGCAGAGGGAGGUAGAAUUCCACGUGUAGCAGUGAAAUGCGUAGAGAUGUGGAGGAAUACCGAUGGCGAAGGCAGCCUCCUGGGCCAACACUGACGCUCAUGCACAAAGCGUGGGGAGCAAAC
rnacentral:rRNA from 1 species